GAACAAAUAUUUUUAGCGAUCUUGUGUUUUAACUGAGAAAAUCUCCGUUGGCCGCUGCUAUACAUUACUGCAUGGACCUCGAAGCCGAAGAAGGCGACACUCGUCACCUCCCAAUCACAACGCCACCGGAGACUCACCGCCGUUCCAUCUGCUCCAACUGCUGCCGCCCAAAUCCAGUCUGUCUCUGUCACGCACUUCCCUCCCACCCCAUUCAAACCACCACCCAAAUCUUCAUCCUCCACCACCCUCAAGAAGCCAAACACAAACUCUCCACCACUCCAAUCCUCACCAAAUCCCUCCUUAACGCCACCUCCAUCACCGGCCGUCGUCUCCGCCGCGGCACCUCACCUCUAUUCGACCAGUUUCCCCCUGCCAUUUACCUCUUUCCAUCCACCACCUCCUCACCAGCCAUCAACAUCUCCGACCUGAAUCCGUCGGAGCUGAAACGUAACGGCGAGAACAGACUUGUGUUGAUUGCAUUCGAUGCGACGUGGAAGCAUGCGAAGGAGAUGGUGAAAGCGAGCGAGGAUUUUCUUUCGAAAUUUGCAAUUAGGGUUUGUUUGGGAAUGGAAGAUGAGAAAUCAAGUGGCGGAAGUAUUUAUGAUUCUGAAUUGAUUUUGAGGAAGGAACCUUUUGGUGGUUGUGUUAGUACUAUGGAAGCUGUGGCUAGAGCAUUGCGGGUUCUUGAACCCAAUGGGGUUGAAAUUGAGGCUAGUUUGAUUGGGAUUUUGAGGGAAUUGGUGAAGUUGCAAGCUGGUUUUUUAAAGCCUGUGAAAUCCAGGCCUAAAUUGUUGAAGAUGAAGAAGCUUAAGGAAGUGGAAAAGAAUGAGAGUUCUGAAAAUGAAAAGUUGUGAUUCAGGGUUGGUAGUAAAACAAGAGAAUGUCAAUGGGUUCUCAGUUUCUGCAUGAUGCUGGGAUUUUACAUGGAUAAAUUGAUAUGGUGAGAAUCCAAGCAUCUAGUUUCGGUUGGUUUGACUUGUACAGUGUUCCAACUACCAGAAAUUGUGUCUGACUGAAGGAACAUAACGGGAACUUCGGUAAAUUGUGUUGCAAGGCGGAUAAUUUGGCUACUGUUUUACACGUUGAGUAAAACUCUUGUACAAACAGGACUGUGUUCCUUCAACACUUGUAUGACAUUCUUCAUGAAUGGAUGGCUUUAUCACUUGUGUGGUUUUGCUGGUCCAAAUUGAUGUGAACAAAUGGACACGACAAUGAGAAAUAAGUGGAGACAUUAGAUCCUCUAUCUCUGCUAGCCUUCUUCAGAAAGGAGAAUGCAAGAAGGCCAUGUUGAGGUUGUUUAAAGCUUCCCACCACUGUCUGUCACUGACGAGAUCAUGGAUUGACAACCUGAACUUGAAGAUUAAGCCUCUCUCAUAAGACUUACGUCUUGGAAAAUCAAACACUUGGUGAAAAAUAAAGAGAAAGUCAUAUGAUAGGCCAAACCAAUUACGAACAUUGACACACCAUAUGCUGAUGUUAU